UAUGUUUGGUUAUAUUUAAUUUCCAGUUUUAAUUUAGUUUAUCUCGAAUCACAAAAACACUUUCAAAACCCCCCACUACGUGUUUGUCCUAAGACCCGAACUAUAUUUGGUCCUUGAGAGACGACCUAGGAGUCACUUCCUAGUUUAAACUGCAUUAAUUUUGAAAACAACUUUUGUGGGAGGUGCGACCCUCUCAUCACGGACGUCUAUAGACGUCUGGCAAUGCACAAACCGACGUCCAACCCAAUCCCUAGCACAAAACCAUUCAGACAUAUGGCCGUCGGGAGGAUACACCUCGGACGUCUGUGUAGACGUUGGGGGGAGGAGACAUCGGUCGUCUAUGUGGACGUCCGAGGGGUGCACAUUGGACGUCUAUGUGGAUGUUCGAGGGGUACACAUCGGACGUUUACGUAGACGUUGGGGCUGACACAUCGGACGUCUACAUAGACGUCCGUUGUGGACCCCCCGACAUUCGAGUAACGUCACCCACAAAGACGUCGGGGGUAGGUCGGACGUCAAAAAGCCAAAAGAACGGACGUCUAAAGCCCUUUCUGCACUAGUGGUGGUGGCGGUCUUGCGGAUGCGGCGUGAAGAAGAUAAAUUGGUCGUGCGUGACAGUAAUGGCGAUGAGGAUUGUUACGACAAGGUGGAGACGGUAGAACGACGACUAAGGUUUCUGUGGAGAAGAUUAUGCUCAUGUAUUAGGGAUGAGGUGGCGUGUUCUGAUUGGUUCACUAGUGAGUGAAAGUAUUAGUGAUGUGACAUCAUCUGGGUGGAGUCUGACUAGUUAGUGGUAGGAGGGGUAUGGGUAGGAAAAUUUAGGGGUGUAGGAGAAAAGGCUUAGUGUUUGGGCUUGGUUAAAAAAAAAGGGUUGUAUGUAGGGAAAUUUAGGAGGUGCAAGGAUAAAAUUUAUCUGUUUGGCCCAUUUGUAUAUUAUUUUCCAAACAAAAUCUGAUUUUGGGUCUUAAUUUGCAAUUUGGACCAAUAAACUUGUAACUUCAACUACACAAAUAAAUGUAAAAAUUUCCAAGAAUAAUUCAUGCAAUUAAAAUCACUUUUAAGCCCCUUUUAUUCCAAAAUCCAAUAAUUCCAAUUGUCAUAGAUCCACUUUAAAUCAACCAUUUAAGCACAAAUAUUUCAUCAAAAAUUUGAAUUUUUAAUCAUAAAUGCGGGUAUGAAUAUGCACUCAUUACCAUAAAAAUUUGAUGUGCAAUAAAAUGCAAUAUAGUACUAGGCAGUGACUCCUAGGUUCCAAUGGUUUUAACUCUCACUAGUAGAAUAUGGGGAUAAGAAGUCGGGCAUUACGUUUCGGUUCCCCGAAAACCAAAGUAUAUGCAAACGCGAUGGCAUAUUUGCAAUUUCAGCCAACUUAUACGCAUCGGUUCGCCAAGAACCGAAGCAUAAAGGACUAGUUACCUCGGUUAAAGUAAAAAACCGAUGCCUAUGGUUUUGCAAUUUCCCACCUCCAACUGAAAUUUUGCUGUCAGCAUUCUGAAAUUGGGUUUAGGCAUCGGUUAUUUUCAGCAGCCGAAGCAGAAUGCUCUACACCUUUCACCUGCCACCCUGUCACUCAGCCUGUUUCGCCUGUAAUUUUCCACGUGGACCUGGUGAUGCUUUUAGGCAUCAAUUUUGCUGAGACCUGAGGUGUAUACUGUGGGUUUAGGCAUCGGUUUAUUAGAACACUCGAGGCAGUAGCAUGAGGGGAAGGAGAUAUAUUUUCUCCCUUAUAUACAUGGGUAAGUGAAAUUUGUUAACUUUAAAGUUUCAUUUAUUAAUUUUGGUAUAUGACAAUGAAGUUAUUACCAAUUUCAGAUGUCAUUGGCAACUACUUGUGAUCUCCAUACCGGAGAACACUGUUGUCUGGUUUUGUUCAUUGCACAAGUCUCCUCCCAGCCCUCUUAGACAUGUAGUAGAUUGUUCCCUUGCAACACAUAUGAUGUUAUCUGGGAGAUCUACUGCUAAAGCUAAAAAGCUUGCAUGGGUUGCCCUUAAGUGUAAUAGACAAAUGGGGUCAUAUGAAUGUGGUUACUACGUCAUGUUUUGGAUGAUGAACAUUAUUCGUGCACAUUACACCAGUGGAUGGGAAACGAGAUUUAAUAGGACUGCUCCAAUUUCAGAGAAGUCAGUUCAACUUGUGAGGAAAACACUGGCUAAAUAUGUAAUUCAUUUAUAUAAUAGUAUGUAGUAGAUAUUAGGAUAUAGUAAGUUCUAAGUUUAUGUUUUUUAAGUUGUUUUGAGCUUUUCUACAUUAUUAUUAGUUUAACUUUAUACAUUGCAUUGAUUUAUGCUUCAAACUUGAUUUA